UGUGGGCAGUACAUCUACAGGCGGUGAGCCCAGCUGGCCUCGCUCGCUCUGGACCAUCGUCUGCCAACRCCCGGGCUGGAACACAGACUCUUGAAUUAGGAAAGACCAUUAAGGAGCUCUGAUUUAAUCGCCUCUGCUUUCACGGAUGAAGAAGAAUCGGAUGCCUGCAGAAGUGGGUUGAACUUGCAGAUGCAGAAUCAGCAAAUGCAGAGGGCUGACUGUCCCCAUGGGCUGCGGGGGAAGCUGACAGAGAAGACGGGAAGGCCAAUGCCKUGCUAAAAAUAAAAAUGGUAACCUACCCCACAUGCACCGAGACCCGGGGAAGGCUCUCAAGCCACAGAACGCAACCACACGCUUGGGAAAGAGGAAUGAAAAGACCRGGAACAGGAAAAAUCCAGCUGGAGUUCCAGCGCCCAUGUUCUGACGGCCAUUCAAGUGCCCCUUCCUACCACACCCAGCAAGCAGGGCAAGAYCCUCCAGGAAGCCUCCCAUGUUCAUGCUUUGGAAAGGAGCUGGGACCUUCUGCAAAGCAGACAUCAGUUUGCAAUGGGGUCAGGGAAGAGCUGGACUGUGAGCCCAGGAAGGUGGGAMGGGUCGUGCAUUGGAAAGGUCUGGCAGAGGUAGCUCAGGCCCCCCCCCCUCGGGGCCUGGUAGUGGGGGAGAUAAAGCCCUCUCCCUUUCGCCCAUCCCUCCUCCUCAUCACCAUCUGCAUAAAAUCUCUUUGCAACUUACAAAACACUGCCCGCCUUCUGUCCCGAGGAGGACCUGACUCCUGGAGCAGAUGUGGAUGGGGAAGUCUGUUGACAUGACUAAUCACUGUAGAGGGUGCUGGAAAGAGAACCCAAGGCUAGAAACCAGCGAAGGCAAAAUGAUGUCACAGCUCAAGAAAGAAAGGACCAUUCAUGGCUGACAGGUGUGCGACAUUUGCAACUCCRAGGUUUAUUAACAAGGACCGGCCUGAAACAUUCUGGCUUGUCCAUCAAAUAAAAAUCUCAAA